rnacentral:rRNA from 1 species
GAUGAACGCUGGCGGUAUGCUUAACACAUGCAAGUCGAACGGUCUUUUCGGAGAUAGUGGCGGACGGGUGAGUAACGCGUAAGAAUCUACCUACAGGUUCGGGACAACAGUUAGAAAUGACUGCUAAUACCGGAUGUGCCUUCGGGUGAAAGUUUUAAUGCCUGUAGAUGAGCUUGCGUCCGAUUAGCUAGAUGGUGGGGUAACGGCCUACCAUGGCGACGAUCGGUAGCUGGUCUGAGAGGAUGACCAGUCACACUGGAACUGAGACACGGUCCAGACUCCUACGGGAGGCAGCAGUGGGGAAUUUUCCGCAAUGGGCGAAAGCCUGACGGAGCAAUACCGCGUGAGGGACGAAGGUCUGUGGAUUGUAAACCUCUUUUGUUGGGGAAGAUAAUGACGGUACCCAACGAAUAAGCAUCGGCUAACUCCGUGCCAGCAGCCGCGGUAAGACGGAGGAUGCAAGCGUUAUCCGGAAAUAUUGGGCGUAAAGCGUACGUAGGCUGUUUCAUAAGUCUGUUGUCAAAGCGCGAGGCUCAACCUUGUAAAGGCAAUGGAAACUGCGAGACUAGAGAGAGAUAGGGGCAGGAGGAAUUCCAGGUGUAGCGGUGAAAUGCGUAGAUAUCUGGAAGAACACCAGUGGCGAAAGCGUCCUGCUGGAUCUCAACUGACGCUGAAGUACGAAAGCUAGGGGAGCGAAUGGGAUUAGAUACCCCAGUAGUCCUAGCCGUAAACGAUGGGUACUAGGUGUUGGUCGUAUCGACCCGAUCAGUGCCGUAGCUAACGCGUUAAGUACCCCGCCUGGGGAGUACGGUCGCAAGAUUGAAACUCAAAGGAAUUGACGGGGGCCCGCACAAGCGGUGGAGUAUGUGGUUUAAUUCGAAGCAACGCGAAGAACCUUACCUAGACUUGACAUCCCUUGCAUAACCCAGAGAUGGGUGAAGUCCUUCGGGACAAGGUGACAGGUGGUGCAUGGUUGUCGUCAGCUCGUGUCGUGAGAUGUUGGGUUAAGUCCCGCAACGAGCGCAACCCUUAUCAUUAGUUGCUACCAUUAAGUUGAGCACUCUAGUGAGACUGCCCGGGUUAACCGGGAGGAAGGUGGGGAUGACGUCAAAUCAUCAUGCCCCUUAUGUCUAGGGCUACACACGUGCUACAAUGGUGAGUACAAAGAGAUGCAAGACCGCAAGGUGGAGCCAAACUCAAAAACUCAUCCCAGUUCGGAUUGUAGGCUGCAACUCGCCUACAUGAAGCCGGAGUUGCUAGUAAUCGCGAAUCAGCAUGUCGCGGUGAAUACGUUCCCGGGCCUUGUACACACCGCCCGUCACACCAUGAGAGUUGGUAACACCCGAAGUCCGUGAGGUAACCAGUAAUGGAGCUAGCGGCCGAAGGUGGGAUCGAUG